rnacentral:rRNA from 1 species
GACGAACGCUGGCGGCGUGCUUAACACAUGCAAGUCGAACGGAAAGGCCCUGGUUUUGUGUGCUGCUUGAGUGGCGAACGGGUGAGUAACACGUGAGUAACCUGCCCUUGACUUUGGGAUAACUUCAGGAAACUGGGGCUAAUACCGGAUAGGAGCUCCUGCUGCAUGGUGGGGGUUGGAAAGUUUCGGCGGUUGGGGAUGGACUCGCGGCUUAUCAGCUUGUUGGUGGGGUAGUGGCUUACCAAGGCUUUGACGGGUAGCCGGCCUGAGAGGGUGACCGGCCACAUUGGGACUGAGACACGGCCCAGACUCCUACGGGAGGCAGCAGUGGGGAAUAUUGCACAAUGGGCGGAAGCCUGAUGCAGCAACGCCGCGUGCGGGAUGACGGCCUUCGGGUUGUAAACCGCUUUCGCCUGUGAAGAAGCGAGAGUGACGGUAAUGGGAAAAGAAGCACCGGCUAACUACGUG